GACGAACGCUGGCGGCGUGCCUAAUACAUGCAAGUAGAACGAGUUGCGAACGGGUGAGUAACGCGUGGUAACCUGCCUCAUAGCGGGGGAUAACUAUUGGAAACGAUAGCUAAUACCGCAUACCAUCAGAUGUGCCCAGAUGGGAUUAGCUAGUUGGUGGGGUAACGGCUCACCAAGGCGACGAUCCCUAGCUGGUCUGAGAGGAGGACCGGCCAACCUGGAACUGGGACACGGUCCAGCCUCCUACGGGAGGCAGCAGUGGGGAAUAUUGCACAAUGGGCGCAAGCCGGAUGCAGCCAUGCCGCGUGUAUGAAGAAGGCCUUCGGGUUGUAAAGUACUUUCAGCGGGGAGGCGUUACCCGCAGAAGAAGCACCGGCUAACUCCGUGCCAGCCGCCGCGGUAAUAC
rnacentral:rRNA from 1 species